AUAGUAUAUAUGUAACAACAGAUAGUAUAUAUGUAGCAAUAUAUGUGCACAGUUUGAAUUGUCAAAAUAAAAAAAAUUAACGGCUUUAUUUUAUUUUCCCUCUCUCCUCUCUUCUCUCUUCUCUCUUCUAUAAAUGUCGUUUCGUAUUCCACAAGAUUUAUUUAUUUAUACUAAUUUCUCUUCUAUAUAUGUAAUAUCUGUAGUAAUAAACACGAAAAAAUUAUAUGUUGUAACAGUUAGUAUAUAUGUAGCAACAAAUAUUAUAUAUGUAGCAACAGAUGUCACAGUUUGAAUUGUCAAAAUUAAAAAAAAAUGAACGAUUUUAAUUUUCAUUUUCUCUCUCUCUCAUCUCUCAUCUCUCUUCUAUAAAUGCCGUUUCGUAUUUCACAAAAUUUAUUUAUUUCUUCUCUACUGCCAACUUCUCCUUUUUCUCUUCGAUUCUCUUAGUCCUUCCUUCACAGAUCAUCUUCUACAGCAAGGCGGCUUUGUCCUCAUAAUUUUUACUUUAUCGUUGAUAUAUAUAUCUUCUCAGGUAAGGUAACAUUUAAUUAGGAUUUGAAAUUCAUGUGCUCAUCUGCUUAUUGCCCUAUUUUGACUUAUGGUUGUAGCUCAUGUGUGUGUGGCUUUCAAAUAUUUUAUUUUUAUACUUGCAGGUACAAUGGCUCUUGUCAAAAGAAAAGUUGAUGUCGAUACAUCUGAUCAAAUAAAGACCUAGAAGAAGGCUAGGUCUAAAAUUCAUAGGAAGAGGAAUGAAAAUACUACACUUUUAGAAAAACUUGCAACUGAAGUGGUUUCUUCUUCUUAAACAGAAGUAGAAUUUUGUCAAAAAGAUUAUGAACAAAGACAAGUAGUGGAUGAAGAAGAUGGAAAACAAGAAGUUGAGGAACAAGGAAAAAUAAAUGAAGUUCAGGAAGAAGGGGAAAAUAAAGAAGUAGUAGUUUUGGGGCACAACAAGAAAAAAUAAAUGAAAUUCAUGAAGAAGAACAAGAACUUCAUGUAGAGUUCAAUGCUAGUGGGGAUUAUGGGAUUAAAAUCAUCAAUGCAGAAACUUUUCCUGUGCAUCUGCAGCCUGAUGCUAAUGGUGACAACAUCAUUAGGUCAAUCUUGGAAAGACCUUUCGUCAAAUUCAGGGAUAUCAUCAAGAGAAAUGAAUUGAAAGAUUUUUUCAGAAAUAGUUGUUUUGGUCGUUUUCUUGAUUUACCCAUUGAUCCACUUCCACGUUUUUAAAUGACCAUCGUGUAUGAAAUUUUGAAAAGAAGGUUCAUUUUUGAAAAUACCAAUAAGAUGGAUGAGAUUCUAAUUAAUUAUUGUGGCAUGCCAGUUUUCUUUGACAUUUUAGAGUUUGCCAUAGUUACAGGGCUAAAAUAUCAUCCUCCUGUUGAGACCAUCCCUGAAUACAUUGUUAAAACAGAUACACGACGAAUGACAAUAGUUAAAGAAAUAGUAGACUUAGGAAAACAAUCAGUGCCAACUGAGGAGUAGGACUUGAUGUCCCUUGUUGGCAAAAGCUUUAAAAAUUCUGACUUAUUAUGUUUGUUGGAACGGGAGGAUACAUCAAGGAAGAACAAGGAGUCAUUGUGCUUACUUUGGUUUACACAUAAUAUUCUUUUGCCGAAGGAUCCGGAAAACAACAUACUUUUAAAGUAUGUCAAUUUCUGUCAGGAUAUUGAAGCUUUCAAGAACUACCGUGGGGUCAUGAGAGCUUUCAUCCAACUGUCGACUACAUGUUGAGGCCUUUAGGAGAAAAGAUCAGUAACUUGUUUGGUUUUCCAUGGGCUUUCAUGGCCUGGGCAUUUGAAGUUAUUUCUUAUUUGACCCACCAAGUAAUUUAAGCAGAAAGAGAUCGUCCCCAAGGAUGAUGUGACGGUUGAUGGCAAGAACAAAAACUACCAAAGAAGGGCAUAUUUCAGAUCUUUUUAACCCCUCCUUUUGAUGCAGUAGUCCAUUCAUAGAUUACCCCAACAGAAGAGGAAUUGCAAAUGUCAUAUCUAAUAACUCUAGGGUUAGUUGAAAGCAUUUUUGAUCUUGUUGUGGAUUGAGUUAAAAUGAUGUUGGCUGGAGCAACACCCAUAAAAAGAAAGAGAGUUCCUAAUGAAGUCAGUAAUGAAUUAGUUGUUUUUGAUGUUGAUGAUGGUGUUGAUGUUGAUGAUGGUGCUGGUGUUGGUGUUGCUUCUGCUACUUGUGUUGGUGCUGCUGGUGCAGGACAACAUGAAGGGGAUACCUCUUGUAGAUGAUGUUGUGGCUUCCUCUAUGAGAAGUGUAAGAAACAUGAUGAAUAUUCUAUAAUGUAUUUACAAAAAUUGAGUGAAGCUGUCAAUAAAUUUAAAAACAAGAGGGGUGUGAAGGACAUUGCAUCAAAGAAUGUGCCGCAUGCAUGUACUCCAAAGUCCAAUUGGAGAAAAGAAUCAUUUUCCAAGGAAAUGCAAAAUUUGAAGAGGAAGAUGUUUGGAGAAAUUCCAAGGGCCGUAAUGGAGGAAGAGGUGACGGAGUAUUGACACCCAAUUUUAACCGACCUUUAACCAUUUUUAGGAUUAUAUUCGACUAAAUACCUAUUUUUAAAAUUUACUUAAAGUUUUGAAGUUUUAGU